rnacentral:misc_RNA from 1 species
GAUGAAGAACGUAGCGAAAUGCGAUACGUAAUGUGAAUUGCAAAUUCAGUGAAUCAUCGAGUCUUUGAACGCACAUUGCGCCCCCUGGUAUUCCGGGGGGCAUGCCUGUCCGAGCGUCAUUGCUGCCCUCAAGCACGGCUUGUGUGUUGGGCCCCGUCCUCCGAUCCCGGGGGACGGGCCCGAAAGGCAGCGGCGGCACCGCGUCCGGUCCUCGAGCGUAUGGGGCUUUGUCACCCGCUCUGUAGGCCCGGCCGGCGCUUGCCGAUCAACCCAAAUUUUUAUCCAGGUUGACCUCGGAUCAGGUAGGGAUACCCGCUGAACUUAAGCAUACCAAUAAGCGGAGGA